AUUGAACGCUGGCGGCAGGCCUAACACAUGCAAGUCGAGCGGAUGAAGAGAGCUUGCUCUCUGAUUUAGCGGCGGACGGGUGAGUAAUGCCUAGGAAUCUGCCUGGUAGUGGGGGAUAACGUUCCGAAAGGAACGCUAAUACCGCGUACGUCCUACGGGAGAAAGCAGGGGACCUUCGGGCCUUGCGCUAUCAGAUGAGCCUAGGUCGGAUUAGCUAGUUGGUGAGGUAAUGGCUCACCAAGGCGACGAUCCGUAACUGGUCUGAGAGGAUGAUCAGUCACACUGGAACUGAGACACGGUCCAGACUCCUACGGGAGGCAGCAGUGGGGAAUAUUGGACAAUGGGCGAAAGCCUGAUCCAGCCAUGCCGCGUGUGUGAAGAAGGUCUUCGGAUUGUAAAGCACUUUAAGUUGGGAGGAAGGGCGUUUGGCUAAUAUCCAGGCGUUUUGACGUUACCAACAGAAUAAGCACCGGCUAACUUCGUGCCAGCAGCCGCGGUAACAC
rnacentral:rRNA from 1 species